rnacentral:rRNA from 1 species
GAGCUUGCUCUUCGAUUCAGCGGCGGACGGGUGAGUAAUGCCUAGGAAUCUGCCUGGUAGUGGGGGACAACGUUUCGAAAGGAACGCUAAUACCGCAUACGUCCUACGGGAGAAAGCAGGGGACCUUCGGGCCUUGCGCUAUCAGAUGAGCCUAGGUCGGAUUAGCUAGUUGGUGAGGUAAUGGCUCACCAAGGCGACGAUCCGUAACUGGUCUGAGAGGAUGAUCAGUCACACUGGAACUGAGACACGGUCCAGACUCCUACGGGAGGCAGCAGUGGGGAAUAUUGGACAAUGGGCGAAAGCCUGAUCCAGCCAUGCCGCGUGUGUGAAGAAGGUCUUCGGAUUGUAAAGCACUUUAAGUUGGGAGGAAGGGCAGUAAGCGAAUACCUUGCUGUUUUGACGUUACCGACAGAAUAAGCACCGGCUAACUCUGUGCCAGCAGCCGCGGUAAUACAGAGGGUGCAAGCGUUAAUCGGAAUUACUGGGCGUAAAGCGCGCGUAGGUGGUUUGUUAAGUUGGAUGUGAAAGCCCCGGGCUCAACCUGGGAACUGCAUCCAAAACUGGCAAGCUAGAGUACAGUAGAGGGUGGUGGAAUUUCCUGUGUAGCGGUGAAAUGCGUAGAUAUAGGAAGGAACACCAGUGGCGAAGGCGACCACCUGGACUGAUACUGACACUGAGGUGCGAAA